rnacentral:tRNA from 1 species
CGCGGGGUGGAGCAGCCCUCUAGCUCGUCAGGCUCAUACCCUGAAGGCAGCAGGAUCAAAUCCUGCCCCCGCAACCA